rnacentral:rRNA from 1 species
GAUGAACGCUGGCGGCGUGCCUAACACAUGCAAGUCGAGCGAUUCUCUUCGGAGAAGAGCGGCGGACGGGUGAGUAACGCGUGGGUAACCUGCCCUGUACACACGGAUAACAUACCGAAAGGUAUGCUAAUACGAGAUAAUAUGCUUUUAUCGCAUGGUAGAAGUAUCAAAGCUCCGGCGGUACAGGAUGGACCCGCGUCUGAUUAGCUAGUUGGUAAGGUAACGGCUUACCAAGGCGACGAUCAGUAGCCGACCUGAGAGGGUGAUCGGCCACAUUGGAACUGAGACACGGUCCAAACUCCUACGGGAGGCAGCAGUGGGGAAUAUUGCACAAUGGGCGAAAGACCUGAUGCAGCAACGCCGCGUGAGCGAUGAAGGCCUC